rnacentral:lncRNA from 1 species
AUGAGGAACUGGAGUGACAGGACAAGGAGUAACAGGUGCUACGUGGGGUGCAGAAAAACAUGCUUGGCAACAGCUCCUGGCUUGGAGAGAGUAAACGUGUCUGAAAGCGUCCAAAUCUGUCUGCAUAACAGGGGGAGAAUGGAAGUGAAGUUUUCUCCUUCAACAGAACCCCAAAUGUCCUCUUCAGAUGCAUCAGAUGUCCCGCUCAGCCAGUUAACAGAAGGCUUCUGGGGGUUACUGUGGGUAAGUAAACUUAAACUCACCAGAAUUUCAUCCCAGAGGUAUGUUACACUGGGAGACGUCCCUCAGUUCAUUCUUCAAAGGGACAGCAUGGCCUUUUUUGCCUGACAUGAACACCUCCUUCCCUACAUCAGCAUUUGCAGAUGUAUUGUGUGCUGACAUUUCUAGCCUUCAGCUUUUCCCUCCAGAAUUUUCCUGUUUCUGCCUGUGCAGUAAGGUGGAAGUUCCUGCCCUGCCAGAUAAGGAUGGCUUUCCUCAUCUAAUUCAGAGCCCCUUAUUGAAGCAGGUUCUGCUGUGCAAGGGGCAGCUGACUCAAAGUUAGGAGGGCAAGAAUGAGGCGUUCAGAUUCCUCCAGAUGCAAAAGUCACCUCUGACCCAGCUAUGGAGGGAGGGAAAGAAGAGAAAUAUCUUCUUGCUGCUGCCAGGGAAGGCUCCCUGCCAGCCCUGCCAAAAGCCCCAGCUGUCCUCAGCUCAGCUGCCAGAGUAGCUUCUCCCACUGGACUCCAGGCUCUUGUCCACACCAGGCAGUUGAAGCAAAGGUGUGAUUUCAAGUGGGUUUAACUAAACUAUGACUAAUUUCCCAUGAAUGCAAGACUUAGAAAAAUCGAUUCGCUUCUAUGGGACUGCUGACAAAUGUGUGUAAGUUUACACAGGGGAAUUUUCCAGCUCAGUGGUCUGUGAACGAGUACAGGAGUUCACUCAAACACUUAAGAAGCAUGUGAGAUGCGGAAAAUAAAAUAGUCAAUAAUACAUUUCA